rnacentral:rRNA from 1 species
GAUGAACGCUGGCGGCGUGCCUAAUACAUGCAAGUCGAGCGAACAGAUAAGGAGCUUGCUCCUUUGACGUUAGCGGCGGACGGGUGAGUAACACGUGGGUAACCUACCUAUAAGACUGGAAUAACUCCGGGAAACCGGGGCUAAUGCCGGAUAACAUUUAGAACCGCAUGGUUCUAAAGUGAAAGAUGGUUUUGCUAUCACUUAUAGAUGGACCCGCGCCGUAUUAGCUAGUUGGUAAGGUAACGGCUUACCAAGGCAACGAUACGUAGCCGACCUGAGAGGGUGAUCGGCCACACUGGAACUGAGACACGGUCCAGACUCCUACGGGAGGCAGCAGUAGGAAAUCUUCCGCAAUGGGCGAAAGCCUGACGGAGCAACGCCGCGUGAGUGAUGAAGGUCUUCGGAUCGUAAAACUCUGUUAUUAGGGAAGAACAAAUGUGUAAGUAACUGUGCACGUCUUGACGGUACCUAAUCAGAAAGCCACGGCUAACUACGUG